AUGGGCGAAAGCCUGACGCAGCGACGCCGCGUGAGUGAUGAAGGCCUUCGGGUUGUAAAGCUCUGUGGGGAGAGACGAAUAAGUGUUGGCUAAUAUCCAGCAUGAUGACGGUAUCUCCUUAGCAAGCACCGGCUAACUCUGUGCCAGCAGCCGCGGUAAGACAGAGGGUGCAAACGUUGUUCGGAAUUACUGGGCGUAAAGCGCGUGUAGGCGGCUGCGCAAGUCGGAUGUGAAAUCCCAUGGCUCAACCAAGGAAGUGCACCCGAAACUGCGUAGCUUGAGUCUCGGAGAGGAAGGUGGAAUGCUUGGUGUAGAGGUGAAAUUCGUAGAUAUCAAGCGGAACACCGGUGGCGAAGGCGGCCUUCUGGACGAUGACUGACGCUGAGACGCGAAAGCGUGGGGAGCAAACAGGAUUAGAUACCCUGGUAGUCCACGCCGUAAACGAUGAGUGCUAGGUGUCACGGGCUUUGACCCCUGUGGUGCCGUAGCUAACGCAGUAAGCACUCCGCCUGGGGAGUACGG
rnacentral:rRNA from 1 species